rnacentral:rRNA from 1 species
GACGAACGCUGGCGGCGUGCCUAAUACAUGCAAGUAGAACGCACAGUUUAUACCGUAGCUUGCUACACCAUAGACUGUGAGUUGCGAACGGGUGAGUAACGCGUAGGUAACCUGCCUGGUAGCGGGGGAUAACUAUUGGAAACGAUAGCUAAUACCGCAUAAUAUUAAUUAUUGCAUGAUAAUUAAUUGAAAGGUGCAAUUGCACCACUACCAGAUGGACCUGCGUUGUAUUAGCUAGUAGGUGAGGUAACGGCUCACCUAGGCGACGAUACAUAGCCGCCCGGAGAGGGUGAUCGGCCACACGGGAACUGGGACCCGGCCCAGACUCUUCGGGGAGCAAGCGUAGGGGAAUCUUGGACAUUGGCCGAAGGCCGGACCGAGCAACGCCGCGGGGGUGAGGAAGUUUUCGGAUCGUAAAGCUCUGUUGUAAGAGAAGAACGGGUGUGAGAGUGGAAAGUUCACACUGUGACGGUAUCUUACCAGAAAGGGACGGCUAACUACGUG